CCAGUCGGUUCCCAUCAGUCUCCCCUUGGUUCCUGCUGCCCCUCCCUGCCCAGAGCUCGUUUAGACCGUCAAGGCUGGAAGGUAGACCAGUGAUCAUUGAGGCCACCACCCUCUAAGGCGCUAUCUUUCAAGAGUUUCAAAAUGGGGCAAGCUGAUGAAGAAUUCCAGAUCCUGGCAAACUCCUGGCGAUACUCCAGUGCAUUUAACCAACAGGAUAUUUUUCGGUAUGGUGGAUUUUGAUGAAGGUUCUGAUGUAUUUCAGAUGGUAAGAUCUUUGGUUUAUUCUAUUAAGUAGGAAUAGGUAAACUGGAAAAAGUGGAAUACAUCUUUUCCCAUGGCCACAAGAAGUUAAAUAGGACUUGUCUUAUGUAAAAUCUAGAAUAGUUAGUGAAAUAGAAACUAAACUUGAGCUAACCAUGAAAUGUAAUGGUCAGCGCUAACCUUUUAGAAUAUGGAAAUUGGGUAGUAAUCAAGUAAUUUUAUAUAUGUUUUUUGUUGUGGUAAAAUAUGCAUAAAAAUUACCAUUUUAGCCAUUUUUUUUGUUUGUUUGUUUUUUAAAGAUUGGCACCUAGGCUAACAACUGUUGCCAAUCUUCCUUUUUUUUUUUUAAGGAUUGGCACCUGGGCUAACUGUUGCCAAUUUUUUUUUCUUUCUCUUUUCUGCCUUAUUUCCCAAACCCACCCCGGGACAUAGUUGUAUAUCUUAGUUGCAGGUCCUUCUAGUUGUGGGAUGUGGGACGUGGCCUGACGAGCGGUGCCAUGUCCACACCCAGGAUCCGAACCCUGGGCCGCCGCAGCGGAGCGCGCGAACUUAACCACUCGGCCACGGAGCCGGCCCCAUUUAGCCAUUUUGAAGUGUACAGUUUAUCAAGUAACUUUGUAAAUCACAGCAUAAAUCCCGCCAUUAUGCCACCAUUAUGUAAUAUUGAAGUUCUUAGUAUAGCUAGGCACCUGUCUUUACCCCCUUGCUCUCUUGUGCUUAGUGGAAAAGCUCCUUCAUCUUGUUCAAAGCUUAAGCCUUUUUCUGUGCCCUGGAUCCCGUACCCACCCACUCUAUCAAUCAUGACCUCUCUCACUUGUAUUUUUUUUAAUUAAGACUAUUUUUUAGAGCAUUUUACAGGUUCACAGCAGAAUUGAGGGGUAGAUAAGAGAUUUCCCAUAUACUCCCUGCCCUUACACAUGGAGAGCCUCCCCUUUUAUCAGCAUCCCCAACCAGAGUGCUACAUUUGUUACAGUUGAUGAACCUACAUUGACUCAUGAUAAUCACCCAAGGUACAUAGUUUACAUUACAGUUCACUCUUGGUCAUAUACAUUCUACUGGUUUGGGCAAAUGUAUAAUGACAUGUAUCUGUUAACACGGUAUCACAAGGAGUAUUUUUACUGCCCUGAAAAUCCUCUGUACUCUGCCAAUUCAUCCCUCCCCUCUAAUCUUUGGUAAUCACUGAUCUUUUUACUAUCUCCAGUUUUGCCUUUUCCAGAAUGCCAUAUAGUGGGAAUCAUACAGUAUGUAGACUUUUCAGAUUGAUUUAUUUCACUUAGUAAUAUGAACUCAACCACUCGUCCAUGGGGCCAGCCCUUAAUUUUUUUUUUUAUAUGAGUACAGCAUGUGAGAUAUUUAUUAUAUAGACAUACACAAGAGGGAGUAUAUUGCAACACUGUUUUAUAUUGGACUUUUUUUUAUUGAGGACGUUGUGCUGAAUGAAAUAAGCCAGUCACAAAAGACGACAAAUACUGUAUGAUUGCACUUAUAGGAGGCACCUACGGUAGUCAAAUUGAUAGAGACAGACACAAUGGUGGUUGCCAGGGGCUGGGAGAAGCGAGAAUUAUCUUUUAAUGGUUAUAGAGUUUCAAUUUUGCAAGAUGAAAAGAAUUCUGGAGGUUGCACAAUCAUGUGAUGAACUUAACACUACUGAACUGUACAUUUACAAAUGGCAAAGAUGGUCAAUUUCUGUAUAUUGUACCAGAGUUCAAAAUUAAAACAGAUGCUAAUGCCUCGGCCCCGACUCCGUGUUGACGUAUCCUCGCCGACCCCACUUUGUAUUUGGUCAUUGUCCUGAAAAUGUGAGUAUAGCUGGAUAGAGUAGGACUCGUGGUGGAAAUGUUGAAGCAUGAUCUUCAGGCUCUUCUGGGUGACAAUUUAGGGGCAUUCAUAUAAACCCUGCCUGCAGAAUCAGUGAUGACUAGUAUAUUUCUGUUUUUUUUCUUUUCUUUGUGAGGAAGAUUCACCCUGAGCUAACAUCCCUGGCCAAUCCCCCCCUUUUUUUUCUCUGCGUGAGGAAG
rnacentral:lncRNA from 1 species